rnacentral:lncRNA from 1 species
AUGAAAGUUGAGAGCACUGUACUCUCAUGAGUUAGACAUGUGGGAGGAUCAAAGAUCAAGCUGCCAGGAUGAGGAUCAAUGGAUAAGAAAGGAGAAAUGAACAGAAAAAUUAUCAUCAAUGUAAAGAUAUUGUCAUAAAUGUACAGAGAAACUUAACAUCUAAACUUGGGUUUAUCAGAAUCUUUGUGCUAUAAAUAAAGAUUUUUAAUAUCAAUAAAGUGUGGCUCUCUGAAAUUUUCUGGUUUGAGUGAGGAUAAUGUUGCAGAUUCCUAAUUUGCUCUCUUCUGGUUGUUGAUGUUGUAAUUUAUUUAUGAUAAAAGAAAUUUAGAUUCAGGAAUUUGAUGUUAUCCUAACGUUGGGGAACAUUGUAAGACUUUACAGUUCUGAAUGAUUUAUUUGAACUUAGCAUACUUUAUUGACACCAGAGGCUACUACUAAGUCAGAACUCAGAAAAGAUUAGCAGAAUGUACUGUCAGGAUGAGGAUCAAUGGAUAACAAAGGAGAAAUGAACAGAAAAAUUAUCAUCGAUGUAAAGAUAUUAUAAUAAAUGUACAGAGAAAUUACCAUCCUAAACUAGGGUUUGUCAGAAUCUUUGUUCUAUAAAUAAAGAGUUUUAAGAUCAAUAAGUGUGGAUUUCUGAAAUUUUUUUGCUUUCCCUUACUGAUAAUUUGAAGCAAAAUAAUACUUUGAAAACUCAGAAAUAUGUACCUUGCGUUUUAUUUAGAACAUAGCAACAUUCAUCCAUACUAGAAAGCCCACUCAUGUAGUGCUUCCGUGCCAAG